CCUUUUUAUAAAUUUUCUUCUUAAAAAUCUUAUUAUGGUAAGGAUAAUGUAUUUGUUCCCUUCAGGUGUCUGCCACUGCAGCUGACGUUGAGACAACUCUCAGUCUUCCUGCAAGUCCUCGCCUGAUACCUGUUUCAAGUGCAACAAGGCAAGUCACAAUUAAGGGUUGGAUGAUCACCUUUAAGGGCUCUGAGGGCAUCACACCAACAUUUGCAAUUGGACUUGCUGCUAUGUUUGCAACCUACUACAUUUUCAGCCUUCAGUAUCAAGAUGAGACAGCCUGCCCUCUGGAAUUCAUUCAGAGGCACUUCAUCGAUAUAAAUCAAGAGAGAGGAACAAAUGCCAAAAUCAUCAGACAAGAUUGUCUCUAAGAAGAAAGGUGUGAUCGUCCAGAAGUCAUCUUCUGCAGUUAAAUACACACGUGGCCAUGCUACUGAAGAAUCUCCUUGACUUUUUAAUGGAACUUCAUAUAGAUCGUGGCAGCACUGGAAUAAUGCUGCAGAGAGGAACAGCGGCUACUAAAGUGAUGAUCGUCUCUUCUGGAUCCACAAGAACUAAGAUGUAAAAACACAAACCUACCUCACAGGACAAUUUUAAGAGGUAACCUGCAAGUCUAGCUUGCAGUGGCACAUGUGCCUAUACGGUUUCAUCCUAAAUGUUUUUUAUGCUUAUUAUUGAUACAUCCUGACAAAAUGUUCUACUGUACUAUAAUAGUUUCAAAAUGGCCUUAGGUAUGUUUUCAAAAAGUAAACUAUAGGUUAUGCCCUUCACAUUUGGUUAGGAUUAGGGGCAGUCUCUGACGAGCAAUUUAAGAACGUACGUUUAUUGCCAUAGUCUAAAGCAAGAAACUACUGUUUCUGUUUACUACUAGAAAGCUUUUUCAACAUUGUCCA